rnacentral:pre_miRNA from 1 species
AAGAUUUUUCUCAAGUCAAACUUAGUAAAGGUUGACCAAAUUUAUAUUAAAAAUAUCAACAUCUACAAUAGUAAAGGUGUACAAUAUGAAAUUUAAUUCCAUGAUGCAUCUAAUGAUGUUGAUUUGGUAUUGUGGAUGUUGAUGUUUUUUCCUAUAAACUUGGUCAAACUUUACGAAGUUUGACUUCAGACAAAUCUUA